AGCUUUGCGCAGUGGCAGUAUCGUAGCCAAUGAGGUUUAUCCGAGGCGCGAUUAUUGCUAAUUGAAAAUACAAUUUUUGAGGUUAAUAUAUUUAAUGUUUUUAAAAUACAGAUCUGU
rnacentral:snRNA from 1 species